rnacentral:rRNA from 1 species
UACGUAGGGGGCUAGCGUUGUCCGGAAUCAUUGGGCGUAAAGAGCGCGUAGGCGGCCAGAUAAGUCCGGUGUGAAAGUCACAGGCUCAACCUGUGAAUGCCGCUGGAAACUGUCUGGCUAGAGUCCGGAAGGGGCGAGUGGAAUUCCUGGUGUAGCGGUGAAAUGCGUAGAUAUCAGGAGGAACACCAAUGGCGAAGGCAGCUCGCUGGGACGGUACUGACGCUGAGGCGCGAAAGCGUGGGGAGCGAACAGG